rnacentral:rRNA from 1 species
GAUGAACGCUGACAGAAUGCUUAACACAUGCAAGUCCACUUGAAUUUGGGUUUUUAACUUAGGUUUUGGUGGCGGACGGGUGAGUAACGCGUAAAGAACUUCCCUCACAGCUAGGGACAACAUUUGGAAACGCAUGCUAAUACCUAAUAUUAUGAUAAUAGGUCCUCCUAUAAUUAUGAAAGCUAUCAGCGCUGUGAGAGAGCUUUGCGUCCCAUUAGCUAGUUGGAGAGGUAACGGCUCACCAAGGCGAUGAUGGGUAGCCGGCCUGAGAGGGUGAUCGGCAACAAGGGAACUGAGACACGGCCCUUACUCCUACGGGAGGCAGCAGUGGGAAAAUUUGGACAAUGGACCGAGAGUCUGAUCCAGCAAUUCUGUGUGCACGAUGAAGUUUUUCGGAAUGUAAAGUGCUUCCAGUUGGGAAGAAACAAAUGACGGUACCAACAGAAGAAGUGACGGCUAAAUACGUG